rnacentral:lncRNA from 11 species
GCUGGAAAUCCAAGAUCCCAAACACUUUUGGUCUCAAGCAUUUCAGAGAAGGGAUACUGAGACAAUACAAACACCUAUAUAUGUUUUUCUCAGCUUUGGUUAUUAUUUGCAUAAAAUUUUAACAUUCAGGUUCCCCAAUCAUCAAAGAGAGAAAGUAGAGUGUAAAAAUGUGUUUGCUGGAUUGCUAUGAUUUUUUCAGGCUUUAUGGUCAUGUUCCAGAAGUAUUCUCUCCUGACGUUUCGCCCAUAUCUACGGCAGACAUCCACAGAGGUUGUGAGGUAUAUUGGAAACUAGGUUAGUGGGGUUUAUAUAUCUGUGGAAGGUCCAGGGUGGGAGAAAGAACUCUUGUCUGUUGGAGGCAUGUUGUGAUUAAUCAUUGAAAAAGCCUUGCAGCUUCAAAGCCUGGCUGAUUCCUGCCUGGGGGAAUCCUUUGUUGGGAGGUGUUAGCUGGCCCUGAUUAUUUCAUGCCUCGAAUUCCCAUUUUCUGAGUGAUGUUCUUUAUUUACUGUCCUGAUUUUAUAGGGUUUUUUUUAGUACACCCUGGACCUUCCACAGAUAUAUAAACCCCACUGACCUAGUUUUCAAUAUACCUCACAACCUCUGAGGAUGCCUGCCAUAGAUGUUGGUGAAACGUCAGGAGAUAAUGCUUCUGGAACAUGGCCAUACGGCCCGGAAAACUCACAGCAACCCAGUCAUUCUUUUGGGAGAGAACUCGGAGGUGCGUUUCCCCGGUGCGCAAGCAGCUCCUUUGAACGAAGGAAACCGGCGGGCUCUUUGCAAGCAGGUUCUUCUCCUUUCUAUGAAACCAGAAGCGAAGGCGCGAGGGAGCGGCUUCAGAAGCCCGAGGACUACAACUCCCAGCGUCCUUUGUAACGCAGGUGAGGCACGGGGUGCGGUCUGGCGGCUGGAACUUGGAGGAAAAGUUUUCGGGCUCUUAGGUAGAAACGCUCCUGGAAGAGGAAGUCGCCAGGUGGGAGACAAAGGCUGGGGGAGAAAGGCGGACCGUCCCUCACUGGUGGGACUGGGACACGGGCCGUUUCCUGGACUUGUAUGUUUGCCCCCUGAGUGGAUCGCUGGUAUGACAGACUUUUGACCAUUCGGAGGGAAGUGACUAUAGCUUUGCAUUUCUGCAAAGGCUCAAAUGUUGCAAGCAGUCUCUGAGCCCUUCUUUGUCGACUAAGGGGGUGGAAAAUUGUAAGAGCAGACAUCCUGUCCUCAGCAUCGUAUAAACUUCUGAUGAUGCAGAAGCUCGGCAGCGGAAGCAGUUUCAUCUGAUGAUGAUGGGCUUGUUCUUUAACCUGCACUGAGACAUACCUUCAGAAAUCAAAAUAAGGAGGGAAGCAAAUUAGUAGUCACUAACUGUGAAGCAGAGACUUCAGGAUGUCCCACACGGUGACUUUCACAUUUCAUGCUCCUGAGAACAAUGAGGCUAAGAGGUGAGUGUACUUCAGUCUCAUGUUAUGAGUACUAAAUUUGUAAGAUUGCUUUUCUGUGACCUAGAUAAGCACUAAAAUGUGGUAUAUGACUAGUGCAAUGCACCUUAAUUACUAGAAAAAAUUAAUCUAGUAGUACCUCUUUCCUUUGAAAUACUUCUAUUUUGCCAAAAAUCAGAUGACGCUGUUCCAAGACACUCUUAACCAGAGAUUUCCGAGGCCGCUUCUAUGAUGCCAUAUAAAAUCUAGAUUAUCUGC